rnacentral:rRNA from 1 species
GACGAACGCUGGCGGCGUGCUUAACACAUGCAAGUCGAACGGAAAGGCCCUGCUUUUGUGGGGUGCUCGAGUGGCGAACGGGUGAGUAACACGUGAGUAACCUGCCCUUGACUUUGGGAUAACUUCAGGAAACUGGGGCUAAUACCGGAUAGGAGCUCCUGCUGCAUGGUGGGGGUUGGAAAGUUUCGGCGGUUGGGGAUGUACUCGCGGCUUAUCAGCUUGUUGGUGGGGUAGUGGCUUACCAAGGUUUUGACGGGUAGCCGGCCUGAGAGGGUGACCGGCCACAUUGGGACUGAGAUACGGCCCAGACUCCUACGGGAGGCAGCAGUGGGGAAUAUUGCACAAUGGGCGGAAGCCUGAUGCAGCAACGCCGCGUGCGGGAUGACGGCCUUCGGGUUGUAAACCGCUUUCGCCUGUGACGAAGCGUGAGUGACGGUAAUGGGUAAAGAAGCACCGGCUAACUACGUG